GCUUAAGAAUUUCACUGUACCCUGCAAUUACAUCUGCGACCCUGUGCAUGUAACUAAUAAACUAAACACUCCUCCCCCUACCACCUCCCCAAUUCUCUGUAGCAAGCCCUGUAUCAAACCAUUGCUCACAACACAAUGGCUUAUCACUGCAACCAACUGAACACACACACGGAGUACCUUAUCAAAACUGCCCUUCACCGCAGUCCUUCUCUGAUUCAUACACCCACCUGUCUUAAUCAUAUCAGGGACUGACUAGACAACAAUAAUAAACACUAAAUUGCUUAGUUAAUCAUAUCUUCACCGAGGGACAAUCAUUUAUGUCUAAUAACAAAGAGCUGAUAAACUAUUGUAUUUGGGUACAGUACUACUGCACAUUGGACUUGGUCCCAUUGGUAUUUCACAACCCAAAAAGUAAGUCAAGUAAGUAAGUCAAGGCAGUUCAAAAAGAGAAGCUCUAAAUUCGAUUAUGUCCUUGCAUGCUGACUUGUGACUAAAAUGGGACGCUUCAGACCUCAUUGUCAAAAGGCAGAAAUUAAAUCCUCCUAAUACUCUGGGCAUCUUUAUAAAGCAUGCCACCGAGACUCUGGAAACUAACUUAAUACUGAGCUUGUUUUGUCUGCGGAUGAGAAGGGGGAAAUUCGAUUAUGGUGAGAAGGACUGAAGGACUUGAGUAAUGAAAGAUGAAUGAAGCUAAAGCCUCUCAUCAUGUCCUUACAAUGUUGUCUUAUGACAUACACACCUCUCGUCCUUAUACAGGACGUGACUCAUCAGGACUGUCCUCGGCUCAGAGGGAAUCGUAAAAUGGACGAAGGAGCGCCAGAGUAAUAAAACAAGGCUAAUGACUGGUCACUCCAAUUAGACCAAUCAUAAAACAGUGUUUAAGACCGCCACUAUCAAACUUGACCUCAAGUCUAGGAGUUGAGCGGUCUGAAAUUCCAGUGCUGUUACUGAGGGUAUUUAACUUCAACUGUUUAAGAAUACUUAUGUGGACUGGUACGUAUAGCUCCAUGCCUCAUAUUGUAGUUGAUAGGGGGGAUAAAUUGGAUUCAUGUGGUCAACAAUUUGUUGACCCAAAUAAGGUUGCUCCAUGAAAACUGUUCUGUGGGGGUUUCAGGGUGUCAACCGGUCUACAUUCAGGUCUAAAAAGGCACUAAAACGAAUAGGGUGUGUAUGGCGAGGAUGGGAAACCGUACAAUUCUGUCACCUAAUUUCAAUGGUCUUUAGAAUGGAUUUACGAUAAUAAAUAUAUCACAUAAUAGUCCAGGAAGUAUAAUAGUCCAGGAAUGACAGUCAUCAGUGUGAUUAAUGGGACCACUGCAGAGAAUGUUCUGUAGAAUCCAUUUUCUCCUGACUGCUACCCAGACCACCGUGAAGAGUUGUUAAACACUUGGCUAGUUUUGAUCUCAAUGAAAUCGCCCCGAUGUGUCCAUCAUCAUCCGGUAUGACACCAUCUCACCUCAGCCAGGUUCCAUAUGGAAUGGCACCCUAUUCCAUGUAGGCCCAACUCACAACUCUGGCCUAAAGUAGUACACUGCACUAUAUAGGGGAUAUGACUCAUACACAAUUCCGUGGAUGUUAUCAUAAUUCUAGGAGGAUUACACCUCACACAAAGCCUUGACAAUUGCUUAACCGCAGAAUUGAUCCAUUCAUAAAAAUAAAUAUCAGAGACAAACGCACAGUGCUGAUGUCUUUACAAGGUGAUUAUAUACUUGACUGCUUUUUUUGAUCCGUUCUGUACCUCCCCGCUGGCUGACAUCACAGAACGUUUGAAUGAAAACAUUUCAUCGCACCUCACAUCAGGGAUUUGCAAGGCUAGCACAGUGGGAAACGCUAGUCUGAUAUAAUCCAGGGGAAUGUUCAAAAAUAGCCUCAACGGUGGUACAAAUCUCAGAUGCCGCGCCUCGUUGCCUUUUGCCAGAACGUUGUGCCUCCCAUUUGUUUUCUUCCGUUUCUAGGUCAAACCAGCCACCACUGCCCAUCCCACUGUCUAACUGAUGGACUCAAUUGGUCAUUGUCAGAAGAGGACAUACACCAUCAAUGGCUUACAGCAGUACACACAUAAAUAUCAACUACCAACAGGUCAUAUACACACAUAAAUAUCAACUACCAACAGGUCAUAUACACACAUAAAUAUCAACUACCAACAGGUCAAAUACACACAUAAAUAUCAACUACCAACAGGUCAUAUACACACAUAAAUAUCAACUACCAACAGGUCAAAUACACACAUAAAUAUCAACUACCAACAGGUCAAAUACACACAUAAAUAUCAACUACCAACAGGUCAUAUACACACAUAAAUAUCAACUACCAACAGGUCAUAUACACACAUAAAUAUCAACUACCAACAGGUCAUAUACACACAUAAAUAUCAACUACCAACAGGUCAAAUACACACAUAAAUAUCAACUACCAACAGGUCAUAUACACACAUAAAUAUCAACUACCAACAGGUCAAAUACACACAUAAAUAUCAACUACCAACAGGUCAAAUACACACAUAAAUAUCAACUACCAACAGGUCAAAUACACACAUAAAUAUCAACUACCAACAGGUCAAAUACACACAUAAAUAUCAACUACCAACAGGUCAAAUACACACAUAAAUAUCAACUACCAACAGGUCAAAUACACACAUAAAUAUCAACUACCAACAGGUCAAAUACACACAUAAAUAUCAACUACCAACAGGUCAAAUACACACAUAAAUAUCAACUACCAACAGGUCAAAUACACACAUAAAUAUCAACUACCAACAGGUCAAAUACACACAUAAAUAUCAACUACCAACAGGUCAAAUACACACAUAAAUAUCAACUACCAACAGGUCAAAUACACACAUAAAUAUCAACUACCAACAGGUCAAAUACACACAUAAAUAUCAACUACCAACAGGUCAAAUACACACAUAAAUAUCAACUACCAACAGGUCAAAUACACACAUAAAUAUCAACUACCAACAGGUCAAAUACACACAUAAAUAUCAACUACCAACAGGUCAAAUACACACAUAAAUAUCAACUACCAACAGGUCAAAUACACACAUAAAUAUCAACUACCAACAGGUCAAAUACACACAUAAAUAUCAACUACCAACAGGUCAAAUACACACGAGUAUCAACUACCAACAGGUCAAAUACACACAUGAAUAUAAAUGAAGCCAUUUCAGAAGGCAGUGAAAAGAUCCUACUAAUGGAAGACUUGUCAUCAUCUCUGUCUCCGUCUGAUACGUCUCUCCUCUUCCUCCCUCACUACUCGACAAAUGCAUCUUCAAAAUACUGUUUACCAGCGAGCCAGAAUAGCGGGGGGUGAUUUGACUCGCAAAUGCGUCCUCCGGGUGUACAUGUCAAUGCCUCUCCGUCUGAUUGCUUUGGCAUUCACAUCUGAAUAGAAUCUGGAGAGCAAGGUCAGCAGUGAGUGAGAGAGAGACAGGGAUUUCUUAGAUUGGUCUCGGAGUUUCUUAAGAUCUAGAGGAAUUUUUGUGAGUGAACAAAUGUAGAUUUUUUUACCAUUCACCAAUGUCAACAGUAAGUUCCCAUGACAAAGAGUUAAAAAACAACCCAGGCCGUCCGGUGGCGACGCUAUCCACAACACUCUGAUUCUGUUCAGCCCCCAGAAUCCUCCAAACCAAACACAUUGUCGAGGCGACAGCUGGAUUUUCACUUUCCGCCAUCAAAAGGUGCUUCG